rnacentral:rRNA from 1 species
GACGAACGCUGGCGGCGUGCCUAAUACAUGCAAGUCGAGCGCUGAAGGUUGGUACUUGUACCGACUGGAUGAGCAGCGAACGGGUGAGUAACGCGUGGGGAAUCUGCCUUUGAGCGGGGGACAACAUUUGGAAACGAAUGCUAAUACCGCAUAAAAACUUUAAACACAAGUUUUAAGUUUGAAAGAUGCGAUUGCAUCACUCAAAGAUGAUCCCGCGUGGUAUUAGCUAGUUGGUGAGGUAAAGGCUCACCAAGGCGAUGAUACAUAGCCGACCUGAGAGGGUGAUGGGCCACAUUGGGAAUGGGAAACGGCCCAAACUCCUACGGGCGACAGCAGUAGGGAAUCUUCAGCAAUGGACGAAAGUCUGACCGAGCAAGGACGCGUGAGUGAAGAAGGUUUUCGGCUCGUAAAACUCUGUUGGUAGAGAAGAACGUUGGUGAGAGUGGAAAGCUCAUCAAGUGACGGUAACUACCCAGAAAGGGACGGCUAACUACGUG